rnacentral:rRNA from 1 species
UACAGAGGUCUCGAGCGUUGUUCGGAUUCAUUGGGCGUAAAGGGCGCGUAGGCGGCGGGGUAAGUCUGGUGUGAAAUCUCGGAGCUCAACUCCGAAAUUGCACUGGAUACUGCUCUGCUAGAGGGGCUGGAGAGGAGAUCGGAAUUCACGGUGUAGCAGUGAAAUGCGUAGAUAUCGUGAGGAAGACCGGUGGCGAAGGCGGAUCUCUGGACAGUUCCUGACGCUGAGGCG